rnacentral:rRNA from 1 species
AUACGUAGGGGGCGAGCGUUGUCCGGAAUGAUUGGGCGUAAAGGGCGCGUAGGCGGCCCGGUAAGUCUGGAGUGAAAGUCCUGUUUUUAAGAUGGGAAUUGCUUUGGAUACUGUCGGGCUUGAGUGCAGGAGAGGUAAGUGGAAUUCCCAGUGUAGCGGUGAAAUGCGUAGAGAUUGGGAGGAACACCAGUGGCGAAGGCGACUUACUGGACUGUAACUGACGCUGAGGCGCGAAAGUGUGGGAGCAAACAGGAUUAGAUACCCUGGUAGUCCACACUGUAAACGAUGAAUGCUAGGUGUAGGGGGUAUCGACCCCUUCUGUGCCGCAGUCAACACAAUAAGCAUUCCGCCUGGGGAGUACGGCCGCAAGGUUGAAACUCAAAGGAAUUGACGGGG